CGCAAUCUUUGGUUCGGGAGGAAAGAGAUAAUUUGAUCAGAACUGCAGUUGACUUCAAGACAGAAAUAUCAAGAUGAAUUUUAAAAAUGGCCUCGUGAUUUUCCUAUUGUGCUUGGCAAUGUGGACCGCAUACGUGGAGUCGGUCACUCUAGCUCUGGGUCAUGCGAUAAAUAAGAGCAGGCGGCGAGCACGACCAACAGCAACUACGGUUAAAAGGACGACGGCGAGAAAUAAAUUGACGGACAUGCUGAAGAAAAAGGUGAAACCAGAAGCGAAGCAAGUUGAAGAUUUCCUAAACAUACUGACGAUAGAUGCAUUAAGAAGGCGACGGGCGGUGUUAUUGUGGCGAAAAAUGAAGUUAUAAACAAACCGUGGAGAGUGUACAUGUGAGAAAAGAGAAAUUGACAUAACUGAUGAGAUGACACGGAAGUCAAGUGGAAGCAGCAGUACAAAGUACGGAACGGUUUUACGCCAGUCUCGCUCGUGAGCGCUUCGCGAUAUUAACGACGGAUUUCUAAUGUAUAGAAGAGGAAACAUCCAACACUCGUCGAACAUAUGUUGUCAAAAAGUUGCCAACGACAGAAACUUAACUUAACUCGAAGUAGAAUGUAUUUAACAUUUAUAUGUACAAGAUAUUUAUAUCUGUUAAUA